ensembl:lncRNA
GAGAGAUGGAGGGAGGAGAGGAUGGAGAGAGGAGAGGAUGGAGGGAGGAGAGGAUGGAGAGAGGAGAGGAUGGAGGGAGGAGAGGAUGGAGAGAGGAGAGGAUGGAGAGAGGAGAGGAUGGAGGGAGGAGAGGAUGGAGAGAGGAGAGGAUGGAGAGAGGAGAGGAUGGAGGGAGGAGAGGAUGGAGGGGAGGAUGGAGGGAGGAGAGGAUGGAGGGAGGAGAGGAUGGAGAGAGGAGAGGAUGGAGGGAGGAGAGGAUGGAGAGAGGAGAGGAUGGAGGGGAGGAUGGAGGGAGGAGAGGAUGGAGAGACAAGAGAAAGAAGGGGGGUUGUUUCUCUCUCAUAUAUUGUUUUAAAUAUGCCAUUAGAACGAAAUGUUGUGUUUCCUUGUUUAAAUCCAUAAAGUUUGUAAUACAAAAAAAAAGAACAAACAAAUUAAAUAGUGUCGACGGGGCACCGGCGAAUCACAUCUCCAGCUUAGACCACGCCCCCCUCCCCCUAGUCUCCAAUCUCUCAGCCCAUUGGUUGUUCAAGUGGUCUUCCAAAGUUUUGUUUUCAAAACUCUGAUUGGUCUUUACAACAAAAAACACCGCAUGACUGUCAGUCUAAAGCCUCCCACCACUCCUGUGGUCCAGACAGGUUGUGGACAACCAACAGUCAAGUCCCACUUAAAAGAGAAAACAAAGCCCUGUGAGUUGAGACAGACGGUUCGACCAGCCCUGUGAGUUGAGACAGUUCACCCAGCCCUGUGAGUUGAGACAGUUCACCCCAGCCCUGUGAGUUGAGACAGUUCACCCCAGCCCUCCCUGUGAGUUGAGACAGUUCACCCCAGCCCUGUGAGUUGAGACAGACGGUUCACCCAGCCCUGUGAGUUGAGACAGACGGUUCGACCCAGCCCUGUGAGUUGAGACAGACGGUUCGACCCAGCCCUGUGAGUUGAGACAGACGGUUCGACCCAGCCCUGUGAGUUGAGACAGACGGUUCGACCCAGCCCUGUGAGUUGAGACAGACGGUUCGACCCAGCCCUGUGAGUUGAGACAGACGGUUC